rnacentral:rRNA from 1 species
GACGGAGGAUGCAAGUGUUAUCCGGAAUCACUGGGCGUAAAGCGUCUGUAGGUGGUUUUAAUAAGUCAACUGUUAAAUCUUGAGGCUCAACCUCAAAAAUCGCAGUCGAAACUAUUAGGCUAGAGUAUAGUAGGGGUAAAGGGAAUUUCCAGUGGAGCGGGUGAAAUGCGUAGAGAUGUGGAGGAACACCAAAUGGCGAAGGGCAGCCUUCU